rnacentral:rRNA from 1 species
UACAGAGGGUGCAAGCGUUGUUCGGAAUUACUGGGCGUAAAGCGCGUGUAGGCGGCGGCGUAAGUCGAAUGUGAAAGCCCUUGGCUUAACCAAGGAAGUGCAUUCGAUACUGUGUCGCUUGAGUACCGGAGGGGAUGGCGGAAUUCCUGGUGUAGAGGUGAAAUUCGUAGAUAUCAGGAGGAACACCUGUGGCGAAGGCAGCACUCUGGGACGGUACUGACGCUGAGACGCGAAAGCGUGGGGAGCGAACAGG